rnacentral:rRNA from 1 species
UACAGAGGUCCCAAGCGUUGUUCGGAAUUACUGGGGCGUAAAGCGUGCGUAGGCGGCGGGGUAAGUCGGGUGUGAAAUCUCAGGGCUCAACCCUGAAAUUGCAUUCGAUACUGCUUCGCUUGAGCUCUGAAGAGGAGGUUGGAAUUUACGGUGUAGCAGUGAAAUGCGUAGAUAUCGUAAGGAAGGCCGGUGGCGAAAGCGAACCUCUGGGCAGCAGCUGACGCUGUGGCACGAAGGCUAGGGGAGCAAACGGG